rnacentral:rRNA from 1 species
UACGGGGGUGGCAAGCGUUGUUCGGAAUUACUGGGCGUAAAGGGCUCGUAGGUGGCCAACUAAGUCAGACGUGAAAUCCCUCGGCUUAACCGGGGAACUGCGUCUGAUACUGGAUGGCUUGAGUUUGGGAGAGGGAUGCGGAAUUCCAGGUGUAGCGGUGAAAUGCGUAGAUAUCUGGAGGAACACCGGUGGCGAAGGCGGCAUCCUGGACCAACACUGACGCUGAGUGAGCGAAAGCCAGGGGAGCAAACAGG